AUUGAACGCUGGCGGCAGGCCUAACACAUGCAAGUCGAACGGUAACAGGAAGCAGCUUGCUGCUUCGCUGACGAGUGGCGGACGGGUGAGUAAUGUCUGGGAAGCUGCCUGAUGGAGGGGGAUAACUACUGGAAACGGUAGCUAAUACCGCAUAAUGUCGCAAGACCAAAGAGGGGGACCUUCGGGCCUCUUGCCAUCGGAUGUGCCCAGAUGGGAUUAGCUUGUUGGUGGGGUAACGGCUCACCAAGGCGACGAUCCCUAGCUGGUCUGAGAGGAUGACCAGCCACACUGGGACUGAGACACGGUCCAGACUCCUACGGGAGGCAGCAGUGGGGAAUAUUGCACAGUGGGCGCAAGCCUGAUGCAGCCAUGCCGCGUGUAUGAAGAAGGCCUUCGGGUUGUAAAGUACUUUCAGCGGGGAGGAAGGGAGUAAAGUUAAUACCUUUGCUCAUUGACGUUACCCGCAGAAGAAGCACCGGCUAACUCCGUG
rnacentral:rRNA from 1 species